AGUGAACGCUGGCGGUAGGCCUAACACAUGCAAGUCGAACGGCAGCACAGUAAGAGCUUGCUCUUACGAGUGGCGAGUGGCGGACGGGUGAGGAAUACAUCGGAAUCUACUUUUUCGUGGGGGAUAACGUAGGGAAACUUACGCUAAUACCACAUACGACCUACGGGUGAAAGCAGGGGAUCUUCGGACCUUGCGCGAUUGAAUGAGCCGAUGUCGGAUUAGCUAGUUGGCGGGGUAAAGGCCCACCAAGGCGACGAUCCGUAGCUGGUCUGAGAGGAUGAUCAGCCACACUGGAACUGAGACACGGUCCAGACUCCUACGGGAGGCAGCAGUGGGGAAUAUUGGACAAUGGGCGCAAGCCUGAUCCAGCCAUACCGCGUGGGUGAAGAAGGCCUUCGGGUUGUAAAGCCCUUUUGUUGGGAAAGAAAAGCAGCAGGUUAAUACCCCGCUGUUCUGACGGUACCCAAAGAAUAAGCACCGGCUAACUUCGU
rnacentral:rRNA from 1 species